rnacentral:lncRNA from 1 species
GGACCCUCAGGACCGGGGCCUCCUCUCCCCUAACCCACCUUCCCUUGUAGGAAAAUGUCCUUAAGGACCCUCAGGACCCGGGCCUCCUCUCCCCUAACCCGUCUUCCCUUGUAGGAAAAUGCCCUUAAGGACCCUCAGGACCCGGGCCUCCUCUCCCCUAACCCGUCUUCCCUUGUAGGAAAAUGUCCUUAAGGACCCUCAGGACCGGGGCCUCCUCUCCCCUAACCCACCUUCCCUUGUAGGAAAGUGUCCUUAAGGACCCUCAGGACCCGGGCCUCCUCUCCCCUAACCCACCUUCCCUUGUAGGAAAAUGCCCUUAAGGACCCUCAGGACCCGGGCCUCCUCUCCCCUAACCCACCUUCCCUUGUAGGAAAAUGCCCUUAAGGACCCUCAGGACCCGGCCUCCUCUCCCCUAACCCACCUUCCCUUGCAGGAAAAUGCCCUUAAGGACCCUCAGGACCCGGGUCUCCUCUCCCCUAACCCACCUUCCCUUGUAGGAAAAUGUCCUUAAGGACCCUCAGGACCCGGGCCUCCUCUCCCCUAACCCACCUUCCCUUGCCAGGGUGACCCCGCCAGAACCAGGUGAGCCGCUGCCCACACAGGGACCCGCGGCCAACAGGCCAACGUCCUGGGGAAGCGCUUCUUACCCUGCUGCCUGGGACGGGAGAACGCAGGAGAGGCUGGAGAACACCCGGGAAAGGCCUGGAGAACACCCGGGAAAGGCUGCAGAACGCCGGGGAGAGGCCUGGAGAACGCCCGGGAAAGGCUGCAGAACGCCGGGGAGAGGCCUGGAGAACGCCCGGGAGGCUGAAGAACACCCGGGAGGCUGUAGAACGCCGGAGAGGCCUGGAGAACGCCCGGGAGAGGCCUGGUGAACACCCGAGAGGCUGGAGAAUGCCCUGGAGGCCUGGAGAACGCCCGGGAAAGGCUGCAGAACGCCGGGGAGAGGCCUGGAGAACGCCCGGGAGGCUGAAGAACACCCGGGAGGCUGUAGAACGCCGGAGAGGCCUGGAGAACGCCCGGGAGGCCUGA